AACGAACGCUGGCGGCAGGGCUUAGGCAUGCAAGUCGAACGGGUGUAGUAAUACACCAGAGGCGAACGAGUGAGUAACGCGUGGGGAUCGGCCCAUCCCUGGGGAAUAACGUUUGCAAACGAACGUCAAUACCGCAUACGCCCGCAAGGGGAAAGAUUUAUCGGGGAUGGAUGAGCCCGCGUUGGAUUAGUGAGUUGGUGGGGUAACGGCCUACCAAGGCGAUGAUCCAUAGCUGGUCUGAGAGGUCGAUCAGCCACGCUGGAACUGAGAUACGGUCCAGACUCAUACGGGAGGGAGCAGCUAAGAAUAUUGGGCAAUGGAGGAAACUCUGACCCAGCCAUGCCGCGUGAAUGAAGAAGGCCUUCGGGUUGUAAAGUUCUUUUAGUCGUGACGAAGAUGACGGUAGCGACAGAAAAAGCACCGGCUAACUUCGUGCCAGCAGCCGCCGUAA
rnacentral:rRNA from 1 species